GGUUCAAUGAAAAUUCAUCGUAUGCAAUUCAUCGUCGGAAAAUUCAUCGCGAACAAUUCACCGCAAGACUAAUUCACCGCAAGACUAGUUCACCGCAAGACUAGUUCACCGCAAGACUAGUUCACCGCAAGACUAGUUCACCGCAAGACUAGUUCACCGCAAUACUAGUUCACCGCAAGACUGAACACCAACCUUUAGAGAUGUUUAGGUUUCAAUAUAUUCGUAUUACCUCAUUCUAAUUUUCGCUUUUCUAUUGCGUCAUAAAUGCAUGCCUUAAGUCAUAAGAAUGGAAGUUGCCGCGUUUUUGAAAGCAUGCAGAUGCAGUACAGUUUCAUACCGUAAAACUCAUUGGUAUCGUGCAUGCUGUGAUUGUGUAAGCCGGUAAAAUGUCUGAGCAUGUCGCACAUACGUUUGGUGAAACAGAAAAGGGAAAGGAAAUGUUAAACGAAGGGGGUCACUCGUAUGUUGUAGAUAGAAAAACCGAUGAAAAGAUAUUUAUCGCUUUACUCACAAAUUGGAAUUGUUUUUGAUUUUUGAUAACCCGGAAGCUGGCAAUGAUCGCAUGCUGAGAUAUUUGCAACUCAAAAAAAUCUUCAAUUAUUGGCUCGAGCAAAAACUUGGUAUGCCGAUGGCACUUUUAAAGUUACACCCUCUUUAUUUUGCCAACUUUAUACCAUACAUGGAGUAAUGCAUAACGAUGUGAUUCCGGCUGUAUUCGCAUUACUUCCCAGGAAAAAUGAGGAAACGUAUACAAAACUUCUGCAAGAAUUGAAACGCCACCAGGGGCAAUUAAAUCCGGAAAGAAUAAUGACGGAUUUUGAGAUUGCUGCGAUAAAUGGAUUCCACACUGUUUUUCCCCAAAGCCAACAACGUGGUUGUUUCUUUUAUUUCUGCCAAUGUAUUUACCGGUAAAUACAGUCCAAUGGUUUAAAAUAUGAAUAUGAAAACAAUGCCGAAUUUGCUCUAAAACUGCGCAUGUUAUCAGCUCUGGCAUUCGUGCCAACGGAUCAAAUCGUGACAAGCUUUGAAGCUUUAUGCGAUAGUAAUAUCCUUCCACCUAGUGCACAGCCUGUGAUCGAUUAUGUAGAAGAUAAUUGGAUUGGGAGGCCGGAUCGCAGGGCGGUUCGACGUGAUCCGCGUUACGCUCAUGCUUUGUGGAAUUGUUACGAAGAUACUGGAGAAAAUCUUCCCAAAACAAACAAAUCUUGUGAGGGCUGGCACAGAAGUUUUAGCUCAUUGGUUUCAUCAAAUCACCCUACAUUGUGGAAAUUCAUUGACAAAUUAAAAGAUGAACAGGGGAGAAACGAAGCAGUCAUUGAGCAAUAUGUUGCCGGAGAAGAUUUAUCUCCUCGCAAAAAGAAAUAUCGCGAUGCUGCAGAAAGGUUACGUCGAGUUGUAUCAGAUUAUCCUAACAGGGAGAUGUUGGACUACUUAAGAGGAGUAGCGCAUAACAUUGGCUUUUGAUUGAGUGAUGUGCUUUGAUUCUUACUUUCGUUAAGGUUAACUGUUAAUAAAAUUUCUUUCAUUUUAAUUGUCAUAUUAUGAUACGUAUAUAGGUACGGCAACAGGCACCUAAGCACAUAUAAAACAAGUCUUGCGAUGCAUUAGUAUUGCGGUAAAUUAGUAUUGCGGUAAAUUAGCCUUGCGAUAAAUUAGUCUUGCGGUGAAUUCGUUUUGCGGUGAAUUAGUCUUGCGAUGAAUUAGUCUUGCGAUGAAUUAGUCUUGCGAUGAAUUAGUCUUGCGGUGAAUUAGUCUUGCGGUGAACUAGUCUUGCGGUGAAUUAGUCUUGGGGUGAAUUAGUCUUGCGGUGAAUUGGUCUUGCGGUGAAUUGGUCUUGCGGUGAACUGGUCUUGCGGUGAACUGGUCUUGCGGUGAACUGGUCUUGCGGUGAACUAGUCUUGCGGUGAACUAGUCUUGCGGUGAACUAGUCUUGCGGUGAAUUAGCCUUGCGGUUAAUUGUUCGCGAUGAAUUUUCCGACGAUGAAUUGCAUACGAUGAAUUCACCGGACACCAUGUUUAUGGCGUUUAUUAUGUGUUUGGACAAAAUCGUUAUACAGCCGAUCAGAACUUUGUUUCAUAGGCUGAAAAAGUAAAGCAGAAAGAUUCUACCAAUCCUGGUCAAAAGUAGUGAACACUUAAAGUAGUAGGUAUAUUGUUUAUGUUGGUACAAUUUAUUGGUAGGUAAACCUUUAAGGCAUAGAUUUUAUCAUCUUCGACGUUCACUUAUAAUGACCAAGUGCAAACAGUGAAAAAAAUUAAGAAUUUAAAAGAAGAGAUUCAGCUAAGAGCCAAGCACGAGCAAUCAGCAAAAAGCCCCUGUUGGGAAGUAACGUUUCACCAUGUUCUAUCAACUCCCAGGUGUAGCUAGUCUAGUAUUUCAAUUGGAAGAGAAAUAGUAGGCAACAGAUUUAUCUGUGUUUAUUUUAAGGGCAAAUUCCCACCGAUAAAACAUUUUGCUGUUUAAGUCACGCUUUAUCGCGUGCUUUUAGUCAAAUCCGCUUUAAAGCAGUUUUGCCAAUUCACACCGCAAUUUUGCUUUAAUGGCUUCACGCGACUAGGCGAUCGUUAGCAAAAUAGCUGAACGUGAAUAUGGCGAUGAUUUCGGCUGAGACAAAAGAAGUGAUCGCAGUAUACUAUCUCUGGAAACAAAGAAAUAACCUUGAAAGUGAAAGACGGUUCUGGGUACAUCCAAUCUGUCAGUUCAGGCCAGAAGGAGCUUUUCAUACACUAGAAGAAGGAGCUUUUCAUACACUAUUUAAGACACUGCUUGAUCCCAGACAAAAUUUAUGUUUUUUGUCAUUUAACGACACAUUACAAGACACUUCUGAAGAUUCUCAAGGUUACAAGUGCCACAUGAAAGUCGAAAACUUACCAAUGCAAAUAUUUCUAUUCUUCUGAACAGGAUGAACAAAACCUAAAUAGAUGGAAGAAAUUGUAAGAGAUUUAUCUGUGUUUAUUUUAAAUUUAUUUAUCAUUAGUAUAGUAAUGCUAGAAAAGGUUCGGAAUCUGCAAAGAAUGUUUAUCAUAAAAGUAAAAUUCUUUUUCAUACCAUUUUUUCUCUGUUUAUUGCACAUUAUUUACCAUUUUUUCUCUGUUUAUUGCACAUUAUUUAUUUUAAGUAUAUUCAACACUAUACUGUUGUUCUUUGCAGACGCGGCCCAUGCACUCCUGUGUCUCCCAGCUUGCAUUAGUGAGAUAAAAAGAGAAGAUGACAAUUUUUUAAUUACUGACAUGGUAAGAUAGUCUGUGGUUUUUGUUGUUGGUUUUUGUUGUUAAGUGUUGAACUUCAAUUUGUGUACUUUUUUAAACGCAGUCGCGGAUGGAAAUGUGGUUCCAUCUUUUUUGUUACUUAUUUGCAAGGUUUCGGUUUAUAGUGAAGAAAGCGUUUGAGACAGAAAAGUUCAAGCGAUGAAAAAGAUAAGAAUUCAAAACCUGGAGACCUAAAGAGUAAACAGUGUUAAAAUGUUACAGAUUCAAAACAAAGAAUCAGACAACAUGAGCAAAAACAAAAUACGUACAAUCGAGAAAACGCAAUUCAUUUUCUGAGAGAGUUGAACGAUAGUUAUUCAAAUCAGAGAAAUUCAUAUUUUCGUUAUCACAAUUUCUGAAAUUUCUGAACCUGCUCAUCAUCUGUAAGGCUUUGUGGCACUCGUGAAGUCCGACUGACCCCCACAACAUCUCUGUUUCACCACGUAGCAUAACUGAAUAUUCCAAAACACCUCCUCAAUGCAAGCUUUACGCCACCAGUGCAGGAAAAGUUUUAAAUAAUACUUUUCAAAGAAUUAUUUGCAAUUCGAAUAUCAAUAAAGGGUUAACAAAAUUUUAAAGCAAACCUAAGUGCAAAUCAAAGCCUAUGUCGUAGUCAAACCAAUCAAAGCCUAAUGUGGUUUUCGUUGUUUAAAGAGUCUGGAUCACUCGCGGGCACUAUGACGUAAAUUACGUCACGAUCUUACACUAUUUAAAUUUGUCAGUUAACAAUAAUGUAAAAGUGUCAGUGUGUGAUGUAUAGUCAGGUAGAAGUAUUUCAUCUAAUGAAGUGACAUAAGUGAAGAUCCUAGUCCACUAGCAAUAAAAGUAUUGAGCCUUUCCAGUUUGAACCUGUACUUCCAGCAAGUGUUGGGGAAGUAGACAGGCCAAGGCCAUGGAAAAUAAGUGAAGCUGAGCAAAUCAACAACACAAUUUGGUGGGUGUUUAGACACCCGUUGUUGGUAUAUUGUUUGUGAGCUGAUUGCAGGGGUGAUGCAAUGACUUCGUGCGCUCGUGGGUGUCUAAAGCUACGUCCUAGUCUAGGUUAUCUAGGAGUUGUCGUUUGCCGUUUCCUAGUCUAGGUUAUCUAGGGUUUUGGCUGGCAAGAAAUCACACGAUUUUGUACCCUCAGUUACAGUAACUAUGUUUAUUUGUUCUCUCGUUGUUAUCUUAUAUAGUUCUCGUUUCUCUUAUCUCUUUUCUUAUUUUUUUUUGAAUGGCGAUCACACAACGGUAUAUAUAGCAGUCGGGGAAUGGUUUGAAGGGAAAAAGAAAUUUUGGGUGUCAGACGAACCGGCGUGAUAAAUGGCGGUAACGAGGUUAUAAUGCAAAGGACACAAUUGGGAGCAUCGGCGCUAACUCGGUUAACGGCAGGGUGCAUCCGCCGCGUUGUGGGAAAGUUAGCACGCGACGUCAAACAUUUGGGUCAAUAUUGGGGACAAAAGAAUUCGUGUGACGUAAUAUUACGACGGGCCGCUACAACACCUCCCUUUGGCCAUUGAAAAAAUUAGAAAACCAGUCAAAUAUGCCAGAGUGGUGCUCGUUGUAGAGGCUCGUCGUCUCACAUACAAAGGCAGGAAAGUGUUACUCUCGGGAUCAGCUUGGUCCGCAUUCGGGUUGCCUGUAAAACAUCUAAACACCGAACGCAUAGUUAUAGUCACACACACAAUAACAAGGCAUGUUUAGAACUGGUAAUCUGCGUGUGUGAGUUGUGGGUGUUAGUUAUGUAUUCUGUAUAGUACGGUGUCAACCAGUGUUUAAUCGGGUGU